rfam:Daphnia pulex DAPPTscaffold_6_Cont434, whole genome shotgun sequence.
UCUCCAGUGGCGCAGUUGGUUAGCGCAUGGUACUUAUACGACAGUAAAUCUAAUACGCUAGCAAAUAAAAGUAAUGCCGAGGUCGCGAGUUCGACCCUCGCCUGGAGAA